UUAACACAUGCAAGUCGAACGGAUUUAUGGAGCUUGCUCUAUAAAUUAGUGGCAGACGGGUGAGUAACGCGUGGGAAUGUACCUCUUGGUUCAGAAUAACGACGGGAAACUGUCAGUAAUACUGGAUGAGCCCUUCGGGGGAAAGAUUUAUCGCCAAGAGAGCAGCCCGCGUUAGAUUAGGUAGUUGGUGGGGUAAAGGCCUACCAAGCCUGCGAUCUAUAGCUGGUCUGAGAGGAUGAUCAGCCACACUGGGACUGAGACACGGCCCAGACUCCUACGGGAGGCAGCAGUGGGGAAUAUUGGACAAUGGGGGAAACCCUGAUCCAGCAAUGCCGCGUGAGUGAUGAAGGCCUUCGGGUUGUAAAGCUCUUUUAUUAGGGACGAUGAUGACGGUACCUAAUGAAUAAGCUCCG
rnacentral:rRNA from 1 species